GGAUCAUCCUAACCUGAAGUUCUAAUCAUGGAGGUACCAUCACAAAUUGUCUCACAGAAGGAAGCCUUUGAUCACAAAGGAUGCAAGCCAGGGAGUGGGUGGAAAUGUCUCUCAGUAGAGCCAUUAACUGUCACCAGGAUGGUGUGUGUCACUGAUCCAUUCCUACCUCAAGAGGUGGAUGGAUACAUCUGCAGAGUUUUAAAAGAAUGAAGAUUAUCUGGUCCAGCUCACUUGAAGUAAAUUGCACAAGGUCUUUGUACUAUUAAAGGGAGAAUUUAGAAAUCAAACCCAGGCUUGCAAUCCAAGGCUUCCUGUUUUCAAGACUCUCUUAAAUCUUCUGUUGUGAUCACUGGUGAAGUGUAUGGAGAAGAGCUACAAGUAGAUUCAAGUUUCUACUGCAUCUGCACCCUCAGGAGUCCUCUAUUCUCCUGAGAUCCAUCUCUUGGCCCCAACAGUUUUUGCUGACUUCUUAACCAGGGUCUGGCAGCAUCUAUCCCAGCGAUGGGAUGCUGCCAUUUUGGAGAGGUCUCAGCCAGUGAUGAAGAGUGGUCACAUGUAGGGAAAGUUUGGUGUGAUGAUUAUGGCAACUAGGAC
rnacentral:lncRNA from 1 species